rnacentral:rRNA from 1 species
GACGAACGCUAGCGGCGUGCCUAAGGUAUGCAAGUCGAGCGGGAGGCGGGCAACCCGCCUCCAGCGGCGAACGGUCGAGUAACACGUAGAUCACCUGCCCUCCAGUGGGGGAGUAACUUCGCGAAAGCGGGGCGUAAUACCGCAUACGACGGGAGCGUGCCUGCGCUUCUGGUCAAAGGAGCAAUUCGCUGGGGGAUGGGUCUGCGGCCUAUCAGCUCGUUGGUGAGGAACGG